CGCCUGUUUAUCAAAAACAUGUCUGUUUGAAGAUAUAAAGAGUCUAAUCUGCCCGCUGAAAUGAUUUAAGGGCCGCGGUAAUUUGACCGUGCAAAGGUAGCAUAAUCGUUAGUUUUUUAAUUGGAAUCUUGUAUGAAUGAUUGGACAAGGGGAAGACUGUCUCUAUGUUUAUUCUUGAAUUUAACUUUUAAGUGAAAAGGCUUAAAUUUUUUAGAAAGACGAUAAGACCCUAUGAAGCUUGAUAAACUAAACUAUUUAACUGAAUUAGAGAUAAAAGUUGAGUGGUUGAAUUUAUUUUGUUGGGGCGACAAUGGUAAAAUGAUUAUUAACUGCUAAAAUUUAAGACAAAAAUAAGUGAAUGAAGGUGUAAAUGAACCUUGAAUGAGAUUGGAAGAUUAAGUUACUUUAGGGAUAACAGCGUUAUUUUUUUUGAGAGUUCUUAUCGAAAAAAAAGUUUGCGACCUCGAUGUUGAAUUAAAAUGCCUAUACAAUUGCAGAAGUUGUAAUAGUGGGUCUGUUCGACCUUUGAAAUUUUACGUGAUCUGAGUUCAGACCGGA
rnacentral:rRNA from 1 species